AGCGAACGCUGGCGGCAGGCCUAACACAUGCAAGUCGAACGAACUCUUCGGAGUUAGUGGCGGACGGGUGAGUAACACGCGGGAACGUGCCUUUAGGUUCGGAAUAACUCAGGGAAACUUGUGCUAAUACCGAAUGUGCCCUUCGGGGGAAAGAUUUAUCGCCUUUAGAGCGGCCCGCGUCUGAUUAGCUAGUUGGUGAGGUAAAGGCUCACCAAGGCGACGAUCAGUAGCUGGUCUGCGAGGAUGAUCAGCCACAUUGGGACUGAGACACGGCCCAAACUCCUACGGGAGGCAGCAGUGGGGAAACUUGCGCAAGGGGCGAAAGCCUGACGCAGCCAUGCCGCGUGAAUGAUGAAGGUCUUAGGAUUGUAAAAUUCUUUCACCGGGGACGAUAAUGACGGUACCCGGAGAAGGAGCCCCGGCUAACUUCGUGCCAGCCGCCGCUGUAA
rnacentral:rRNA from 1 species